rnacentral:rRNA from 1 species
CCUACGGGUGGCAGCAGUCGAGAAUCAUUCACAAUGGGGGAAACCCUGAUGGUGCGACGCCGCGUGGGGGAAUGCAGGUCUUCGGAUUGUAAACCCCUGUCAUGUGGGAGCAAAUUAAAAAGAUAGUACCACAAGAGGAAGAGACGGCUCACUCUGUGCCAGCAGCCGCGGUAAUUCAGCGGUCUCAAGCGUUGUUCGGAAUCACUGGGCGUAAAGCGUGCGGGGGCGGUUUCGUAAGUCGUGUGUGAAAGGCUGGGGCUCAACCCGCGGAUGGCACAUGAUACUGCGAGACUAGAGUAAGGGAGGGGGAACCGGAAUUCUCGGUGUAGCAGUGAAAUGCGUAGAUAUCGAGAGGAACACUCGUGGCGAAGGCGGGUUCCUGGACAUUAACUGACGCUGAUGCACGAAAGCGUGGGGAUCAAACAGGAUUAGAUACCCUGGUAGUC